ACCAUCAAACGAGUGUUGCAAAACGCGAAGAAAAAAGGAGACUGCGGAGGAAAAUUUCUCGAUCCGAAGAUUAUUAAAUUUUUUCACCUGCUCCGAACUGGACUGGAGCCAGCAGCUGCUGCAAAGUAAAAGUUGUCCUUGCUGGGAAGAAAACGCGAAAAAGUGUUGAAAUUGUGUGAAGUGUUGGAAACAGGUUUUCCACAGAAAAGUUUGUUCGAGAAAGGUGAAAAUCAGGCUCUCUGCCUGCAGCCAUUUAGCAAUAUGUGCGGAGGAUUUCAUUGCUCCAAAAAUGCAUUAAUUGCAUUGAACGUCCUUUAUGUGAUGGUGGGCUUCCUGCUCAUCGGCGUCGGAGUCUAUGGCCGUGCGUCGUCUAUCGUGACCAAUUUGCCCAUCAUCGGUGGCAUCCUGGCCUGCGGUGUGAUUCUCAUUCUGAUCUCGAUUCUCGGCCUGGUCGGGGCUGUCAAACAUCACCAGGUGAUGUUGUUCUUCUACAUGAUAAUUUUGUUUAUGCUGUUCCUGAUUCAGUUCUCAAUCGCCUGCUCCUGUUUGGCGGUGAAUCAGAGUCAGCAGCGUGAGUUUGCCGAACAGGGCUGGUCCCUGGCUCCGAUCGACAUCAAGCAGCAAGUGCAGGACGAGUUUAUUUGCUGUGGAUUCAACUCGACCGUGACCGAUGAUCAUCCGUCUUGCGAGACUGUCAAUGCUAUAUGCUGCCCGAAGGGAUCACCGGAAAGCUGCACCUGUUCUCCCUGCAUGCCCAAACUGGAGAGCACCAUUGACUACGCGUUCCGUUUGUCCGGUGGAAUCGGCCUGUUCUUCAGCUUCACCGAGUUUAUCGGUGUCUGGCUGACCGUGCGCUACCGCAACCAGAAAGACCCCCGGGGCAAUCCGAGUGCUUUCCUCUAAGAUUGGGACGAUCCUGUAACGGAGCUCUAAGGAAUUUGUUUGUUUUGGUUCAUUUAGUUUGAAUUAGUUCCUAUUGUUUCCGAGUAUAGUACAACAGCAAACCGGUUCCUCUGCCGAUGACCACGACAAUGGGGCUUCUCCUGGUAAUUCUGAAAGCUUCACGAUUGAUUAUUGCCGUAUUCCUGACGCGUCGCUAUCGUAACCAGCAGGACCCGGAUCACCUGCCAGCACGAGCCAUUUUCCCUCAGAGUAACUAUGUCUACUAGGAACAAUAGACCAAUAGAAAGAAAGGAAAAGCAGCUAGGGAAAUUCAAUCAAUUCAGGGAUUAUCCGGGUAAUCCUGCUCGCUAGAAUCCAAAAAUGAGUCGAACUAAUUCCGGUGAUCAAUGUAGCGCGGAGAAACUGUCGAACAGGAAUACUACAAUUAUACUCAAAGCACGAGCGGCUCCCAUAGGUAGGAUUAACAAAGAAUCGAGGAAACACGAAAGACAGAGUAGAACGGUUGUGCUAAUUGUAAUUUAGUUCAGUUUUUUUUUUCGCUUAAGUUUUUCAACAAUCUAGACUGACGGGGGAGACAGGUGGUGAAUCUAAGAGGGAGAAGGGAUAACUUGUGUGAAUGUGUGUUUUUAGGUUCAGCUUUCCAAGUCGAAUUUAUCUUGUCAAAUUUUGAUCUUAAGUAGACUUAAGUAGGUCCGUUUUGUUUUAUUUUGUUUUCUCAUCAUGGAUUGAUAAAUUGUGUGCAGAUCUAUCCGUUCAGGUGUAAGAAAUUGUGAUAAAGCUUCAAACAGGAUUUUUAUCUCACCUCAGUAAUCUCCCUGUAUUCAAUGAAAGUGGCGCCAUCUAUGAGUGAAGUUCUCUCAUUAGCCGAGACGCUCACUAACAGAUGGCGCUGCUUUGGCAGCACCACCCUUUUGAAAUCUCAAUAUCGGUAUAUCCUUGUAUCUUCUUAAAUGUAGUAUACGUAAAUGAAAAACUUUCUCUUUAACACUAGAACCGUUUUCACUAUCGUUUCAAAACUGAACGUGCAGAUAUAACUACAGCAGCUUUAAACCGAAUUUAUUUUGCUCAAAACUAAGUAGAUUGCUUACUGUGUAUGUAGGGAUUAUGGCUUUGGUUUCCGUUUUGCCGGAAGUCCUCGUCUUUACUUCAAGGCUUCCGGUCCACAGACCAUUCCUGUCAAAACCGAAUUCUUUCUAUUAAAAAGAAUAGUUUUCAAAAGUUUGUCACUCUUUUUAGGAAUUUUAACCUGUUGGUCCAAGACAGAAUAUUUGGCAACUCUGGGAAUGAACCUUAUAACUAUAGUUCAUUUUCAGUGUUGGCAAAGAGAUUGGUUUUGACAUGAACGGUCUACCAUACACAACACUAUUUAUUCCUGCACUAUUGUUCCAAUGCGAUCAAAGACAUUUAUAUAUUUACAAUUUGAAAGUGGUGUACUGUACUGCAUAUAAAAAACUAAGAAAUCUGUAAAAAAAUACAUGGUCGUUCCAUAAAACUCUAGUUGACAGAAGCAAAAACUAUCACUAUCGUCAAUUUGACGACGUGGACGUUUCCGUGGCGACACGUUCAAAUGACGACCAUCAUCUUCAUCACAACUUUGAUAUUGGCACUGACAAUCGUGAGCUUGACAUAAAAACAGAUAAACAAAAACGGUAAAAUACAAUUGGCAAUGUUACACGAAGCUUUAUUUUCAUUGAAAUUUACCACUUAGUCUAGGAUGCAGCCGAAAAUGAAACUACUACAUUCAUAAUAAAUGAACCUUGUACACUUGUAAUGAAGUAGGCUAUGAAGUGUCUCGUAGAAAAAAAAAGUGAUCGAAUUAUAUAGGAAUUGUGAUGUGACAAACGGA